rnacentral:rRNA from 1 species
UACGAAGGGGGCUAGCGUUGUUCGGAAUUACUGGGCGUAAAGCGCACGUAGGCGGAUACUUAAGUUAGGGGUGAAAUCCCGGGGCUCAACCCCGGAACUGCCUUUGAUACUGGGUAUCUAGAGUCCGGAAGAGGUGAGUGGAAUUCCGAGUGUAGAGGUGAAAUUCGUAGAUAUUCGGAGGAACACCAGUGGCGAAGGCGGCUCACUGGCCCGAUACUGACGCUGAGGCACGAAAGCGUGGGGAGCAAACAGG